rnacentral:rRNA from 1 species
GACGAACGCUGGCGGCGUGCUUAACACAUGCAAGUCGAGCGAUGAAGUUCCUUCGGGAAUGGAUUAGCGGCGGACGGGUGAGUAACACGUGGGUAACCUGCCUCAUAGAGGGGAAUAGCCUUUCGAAAGGAAGAUUAAUACCGCAUAAGAUUGUAGCUUCGCAUGAAACAGCAAUUAAAGGAGUAAUCCGCUAUGAGAUGGACCCGCGUCGCAUUAGCUAGUUGGUGAGGUAACGGCUCACCAAGGCGACGAUGCGUAGCCGACCUGAGAGGGGGAGCGGCCACAUUGGGCCUGAGACGCGGCCCAGACUCCUACGGGGGGCAGCAGUGGGGAAUAUUGCACAAUGGGGGAAACCCUGAUGCAGCAACGCCGCGUGAGUGAUGACGGUCUUCGGAUUGUAAAACUCUGUCUUCAGGGACGAUAAUGACGGUACCUGAGGAGGAAGCCACGGCUAACUACGUGCCAGCCGCCGCCGUAA